CCUGAAAGUUGACCAAACAGUAUGAGUAUGUCAAAAUGUCAGGUGAUUCGGCAUGUGCACACAAAGCCCACAAUAGCUGCGCGCUAGCUAGGUCAACUGGCUCCUCCUGUUUGUUAUCUCUUUAAUGACACUAAACUCGAUACACUGGUGUUGGCCACAAAAUGUCAUCUGACACUUGACUGUCACAGCGGAGGACACAGUACACCUCGCAACAAGGUUCUACAGAACAGUCAGGCAAUUUGGACUUGAAGCGAGUGUGCCGUCCGUCCGUCACCUGUCGUGGUUGGGUCCCACCAGGGGGUUGACUCCGGCGAAUCCCGGGAUGUUGAUGUGGUCUUUGAUGAUCAUGACAUCGCCCACCUUGUAGUCCCGGUUGAGGCCGCCAGCCGCGUUGGUCAGGAUCACUGUCUCCACACCCAUCAGCUUGAAGACGCGCAUGGGCAGCGCCACCUGCGGGGAGGGAGGAGGAGGGUGACCCGCUUUGCCCUUGCUGCCAUGGCACAUUCUGAUACGACUUUUUUUCCCAAAUGUCAAUCACAAUAUCAUUCAAGUAUGUCCUUAAUAUGAUUCCAAUCUGACGUAUUAAGACUUAAUUGAAUUUGAAAAAAAAUUGAAGCCUGCGACGGUUGGGAGAUACAUCUAAAAGAAGUGGUUCAAUAAAUUAAAAAAAAAAAAAACUAAAAAAAGUGGUUAAAUAAAAAAAAAACCUC